GAUGAACGCUAGCUACAGGCUUAACACAUGCAAGUCGAGGGGAACGAUAGAGAAAGCUUGCUUUUUCUAGGCGUCGACCGGCGCACGGGUGAGUAACGCGUAUCCAACCUGCCCAUCACUUGGGGAUAACCUUGCGAAAGUAAGACUAAUACCCAAUGACGUCUCUAGAAGACAUCUGAAGGAGAUUAAAGAUUUUAUCGGUGAUGGAUGGGGAUGCGUCUGAUUAGCUUGUUGGCGGGGUAACGGCCCACCAAGGCGACGAUCAGUAGGGGUUCUGAGAGGAAGGUCCCCCACAUUGGAACUGAGACACGGUCCAAACUCCUACGGGAGGCAGCAGUGAGGAAUAUUGGUCAAUGGGCGAGAGCCUGAACCAGCCAAGUAGCGUGCAGGAUGACGGCCCUAUGGGUUGUAAACUGCUUUUAUAAGGGAAUAAAGUGGGAGUCGUGACUCUUUUUGCAUGUACCUUAUGAAUAAGGACCGGCUAAUUCCGUG
rnacentral:rRNA from 1 species